GACGAACGCUGGCGGCGUGCCUAAUACAUGCAAGUCGAGCGGACUUGACAGAGCUUGCUCUGUUCAAGUUAGCGGCGGACGGGUGAGUAACACGUGGGCAACCUGCCCUGCAGAUUGGGAUAACUCCGGGAAACCGGGGCUAAUACCGAAUAAUAUGGAAAACCUCAUGGUUUUCUUUUAAAAGGCGGCUUCGGCUGUCACUGCAGGAUGGGCCCGCGGCGCAUUAGCUAGUUGGUGAGGUAACGGCUCACCAAGACGACGAUGCGUAGCCGACCUGGGAGGGUGCUCGGCCACACUGGGACUGAGACACGGCCCAGACUCCUACGGGAGGCAGCAGUAGGGAAUCUUCCGCAAUGGACGAAAGUCUGACGGAGCAACGCCGCGUGAGUGAAGAAGGUUUUCGGAUCGUAAAACUCUGUUGUUAGGGAAGAACAAGUAUCGGAGUAACUGCCGGUACCUUGACGGUACCUGACCAGAAAGCCACGGCUAACUACGUGCCAGCAGCCGCGGUAAGAC
rnacentral:rRNA from 1 species